UACGGAGGGUGCAAGCGUUAUCCGGAUUUACUGGGUUUAAAGGGUGCGUAGGUGGGUUGGGAAGUCAGUGGUGAAAUACUUUCGCUUAACGAAGGAACUGCCAUUGAUACUAUCAAUCUUGAAUGUAGUGGAGGUAGGCGGAAUGCGUCAUGUAGCGGUGAAAUGCUUAGAUAUGACGCAGAACACCAAUUGCGAAGGCAGCUUGCUACACUACUAUUGACACUGAGGAGCGAAAGCGUGGGGAGCGAACAGG
rnacentral:rRNA from 1 species